rnacentral:rRNA from 1 species
UUGAAGUUCAGGUAACACUGAAUGGAGGACCGAACCGACUUACGUUGAAAAGUGAGCGGAUGAACUGAGGGUAGCGGAGAAAUUCCAAUCGAACCUGGAGAUAGCUGGUUCUCUCCGAAAUAGCUUUAGGGCUAGCCUCAAGUGAUGAUUAUUGGAGGUAGAGCACUGUUUGGACGAGGGGCCCCUCUCGGGUUACCGAAUUCAGACAAACUCCGAAUGCCAAUUAAUUUAACUUGGGAGUCAGAACAUGGGUGAUAAGGUCCGUGUUCGAAAGGGAAACAGCCCAGACCACCAGCUAAGGUCCCAAAAUAUAUGUUAAGUGGAAAAGGAUGUGGCGUUGCCCAGACAACUAGGAUGUUGGCUUAGAAGCAGCCAUCAUUUAAAGAGUGCGUAAUAGCUCACUAGUCGAGUGACACUGCGCCGAAAAUGUACCGGGGCUAAACAUAUUACCGAAGCUGUGGAUUGUCCUUUGGACAAUGGUAGGAGAGCGUUCUAAGGGCGUUGAAGCAUGAUCGUAAGGACAUGUGGAGCGCUUAGAAGUGAGAAUGCCGGUGUGAGUAGCGAAAGACGGGUGAGAAUCCCGUCCACCGAUUGACUAAGGUUUCCAGAGGAAGGCUCGUCCGCUCUGGGUUAGUCGGGUCCUAAGCUGAGGCCGACAGGCGUAGGCGAUGGAUAACAGGUUGAUAUUCCUGUACCACCUAUAAUCGUUUUAAUCGAUGGGGGGACGCAGUAGGAUAGGCGAAGCGUGCGAUUGGAUUGCACGUCUAAGCAGUAAGGCUGAGUAUUAGGCAAAUCCGGUACUCGUUAAGGCUGAGCUGUGAUGGGGAGAAGACAUUGUGUCUUCGAGUCGUUGAUUUCACACUGCCGAGAAAAGCCUCUAGAUAGAAAAUAGGUGCCCGUACCGCAAACCGACACAGGUAGUCAAGAUGAGAAUUCUAAGGUGAGCGAGCGAACUCUCGUUAAGGAACUCGGCAAAAUGACC